rnacentral:rRNA from 7 species
GACACGACUCUCGGCAAUGGAUAUCUCGGCUCUCGCAUCGAUGAAGAGCGCAGCGAAAUGCGAUACUUGGUGUGAAUU